GAGAGGAUUCUUGUCUGCAAGAAAAAUGCACCCUACUUAAUGAUAGAGUGGGACCAUUCUAUUUGUGACAGUAGGUACCAUUUGUUAUUCGAGAAACGUGUGGAUUUGAGGUAAAGAUCGGGGUAGCCGAAUUUUUAUUUAAUUUUAUUUUUGUCCUGGUAGCUGGAAUAAUUUUUUUCACCUUUUUUUUUUUUUUCUUUUUUUUUGUGCACAUAUAAAAAUAUUACUUAGGAAUUAGCUAGUGAAUAUUGCCCCUUAAUAUUAUAGUUUAAUAAUUUUUUUUUCUUAUGAUUGAGAGGUUUUAGAUUCGAUUUUGACUAAAAACGAACUUAAACCGCAUUUGCUAACUUAUUGUGAGUCUUAGGCUUAGCAUACUCUUUCAUCUUCCUAGUGUAGAUAAUAUCAUUUAUUCAAGUAAAAAAAAAUUAGCAAGUACUUUAUACACUCACUUUUGAUUUGGCCUGAUAAAAUAAAUAUAUUUUUAUGUUUUAAAGUUCAAGAAAAGUUAAAUAACAUAUUUAUUAUUUUUAAAGAAUAAAGCAUGUAUACUAUCAUUGAAAAUCAAAAAAUAAAUAUUAACUAUUGAGUACUGAAGUAUUAUUAUAUAUAAUGCAGUUGGCACGUAAAAUGAAACGGGAGGGGAUCAAACUCUGAGAGCUGAAUGUUUGUUUUGUAUGCACUAUGGACUGCCACGUCAACGUCACCUGAGUAUUUUCUUGGAAGUUGCUGUAAGAUAAAAGAAAUUAUGAUCGUUUUAUUUUCUUUAGGUCAAGUAGUAAACCAAGUAACUUUCUUCCGUCCGAAAAGAAAAACAAUUAAUUUGUUUAUUCUUGAAAUUUUUGGUUCACUCGUCAACGACAAUUAUGGUAUUAUAUAUAAGGUAAUUUAGCCAAAGGUCAUUAAAAACUUUACUAUUAAGCCAUAUAUCAAUGACAUAUUUUUAUUUUGAACUUAAUCAAUGAUAUUUUUAUUAAUUAGGCAAAGGUCAAUGAUGAAUGCCACUUAAGCUUUAAGUCAUUAUAAAAUCCAUGAAGAAGAAGACGCCUCACCGACC
rnacentral:lncRNA from 1 species